GAUGACGAGCGGCGGACGGGUGAGUAAUGCUUGGGAACAUGCCUUUAGGUGGGGGACAACCAUUGGAAACGAUGGCUAAUACCGCAUAAUGUCUACGGACCAAAGGGGGCUUCGGCUCUCGCCUUUAGAUUGGCCCAAGUGGGAUUAGCUAGUUGGUGAGGUAAUGGCUCACCAAGGCAACGAUCCCUAGCUGGUUUGAGAGGAUGAUCAGCCACACUGGAACUGAGACACGGUCCAGACUCCUACGGGAGGCAGCAGUGGGGAAUAUUGCACAAUGGGCGCAAGCCUGAUGCAGCCAUGCCGCGUGUGUGAAGAAGGCCUUCGGGUUGUAAAGCACUUUCAGUUGUGAGGAAAGGUUAGUAGUUAAUACCUGCUAGCUGUGACGUUAGCAACAGAAGAAGCACCGGCUAACUCCGUGCCAGCAGCCGCGGUAAUACGGAGGGUGCGAGCGUUAAUCGGAAUUACUGGGCGUAAAGCGUACGCAGGCGGUUUGUUAAGCGAGAUGUGAAAGCCCCGGGCUCAACCUGGGAACUGCAUUUCGAACUGGCAAACUAGAGUGUGAUAGAGGGUGGUAGAAUUUCAGGUGUAGCGGUGAAAUGCGUAGAGAUCUGAAGGAAUACCGAUGGCGAAGGCAGCCACCUGGGUCAACACUGACGCUCAUGUACGAAAGCGUGGGGAGCAAACGGGAUUAGAUACCCCGGUAGUCCACGCCGUAAACGAUGUCUACUAGGAGUUCGGUUUUUCGGAACUGUCUUCCAAAGCUAACGCAUUAAGUAGACCGCCUGGGGAGUACGGCCGCAAGGUUAAAACUCAAAUGAAUUGACGGGGGCCCGCACAAGCGGUGGAGCAUG
rnacentral:rRNA from 1 species